UUCUUGUUAACUAAUUCUUUGUGGGAACGAUACUCAACUUAUCACUUUAUUACUUGUUGACCACGCAUACUUGCGUGUUGUACGUAACUAGAUUCUUUGAAAAACAUCAUAUUCAUAGCAUCACUGCUAUUUACAUUAUUUUCCUAAACUACUAAAGUUUCAGGACAUCAUCAUCAUAUCCCAUAAGUUGCAUCACACUUGGGAUUUACAUAAUACUUAUCAUAACAUAAAUCAUAAAUCAAGUUCACUUCCUAAGUUGUCCUACUAAGAUGCU
rnacentral:lncRNA from 1 species